GUUAGAUAAAAUAUUAGCCUAUUUUGAGCUUUUUUUGUUUCGUGUGCAAACCCCAAAUUCAAAUCCCAAACGUCGAAUACAAGCUCACUGGGAGCACUCGCUUGAUAUCAACGGACGGGUAUCAAAUUUCCCUGCAUCGUCCACUGAACGGAACGCAGCUGUUUCCGCCUCCAUCACAACCUCAGAUCGGAUUGCGGAGUGAAAAAGUGAACAGCAGCCCGCGAGACUGUUUUUUUGUGUCGUCCGCCGAGAAGUGUGUUGGUGGCCUCGCUCCGAAAAAUCCAGAGUGAUACGGUCGGAAGACGAGACGCCCAAGAAGAUCUACGCAACACCGUCACCGCCGUAGAAAAUCCGUCACUUCUAGAAAUUCACGACCGUUAGAGGAGUAAGGCUAUUGCAUCGGGUCCAUCGGGUUUAUUCCGCUGGGCAAUAAACCGACGAAACGACAGGUAAAUAAAGCCCGAUUUCCGAGCAGCGGCGGCGGCAUCCAGCUGACACGUCACGACCCAGGCACGUGGGGAAACAUCCAAGCAGAAACCGAAGCAGCUCUUGGUUGACUGACAAAUUGAACGGCCAUUUCGAGCGUCAGUAUUCCUUGUUUGAGUGGACAGACACAGUUCCGAGUUUGCACAGAAUCAUCCCCAAUUGUGCGGAAAUUGGCACGAUACAGUACCAUCUCCAAUUGUGCGGUGCCCGUCUCAACCGUUCAGCGACCAGAGCAGCGUUUCCAUCAGUCGAUUCUCCACAGUACAACUCCCAUAGCGUGGCGAUUGAUAGGACGAGUGAGCACAGGAGUAAACUUGACGGUGAGUCUUUUGAUUCGUAUAUGUGAUGCGUGAACUAACGUAAAGACUCCUCACAGAUCAGGGAAACAUCCCUCAGACCUUAGACGAAUCAAGAACGGAUUGUCGGUUACCCGCGAAAGUGCAGCUCAACAGAAAAGCCUUCCAAGAGAAGUGAGUACCGAAACUGCGCUCAGUCGUGGCCUCAUUGCUAAUAUUGGAUGUUCGGCCAGGACUUUUCAUUCCAGACUAGCAGUUCGAGACGGCCAUUCAGGCCGGUCCAAGUACCGACUGGUGCGGCAUCGGACGAGGCAAAAGGACACACGAUCUCGGUUACGGACAGGAGGAGAGCACCUCUGGACACGCUCCAGGUGGCCAAAUCCAGCGGCAAAGGAGGUCCGUGGAUAAUCGCGGCGACCGAUUCCAGAUUCCACACGCUGUCCCCGGCUCGGCGGCACGGAUUUGCACGCAGUGGCCCGACGAACGGCGGUCGUGCUAAAGCAUGCCAGGAAAGCGGUCCCGGUAAAAUAAUGGGUGCACCCGAGAAGAUCGUGAGUACUAAAGUACGAAAAAAAAUUGGAAAUGGAAGGAUAGAGAAAGGUUAAGCAGGAGUUAGGGAUUCGAGGCAGGAAAGAUCAGCUAUCACCAAUGUGAAUAAAGGAUUGCACACUAUGAUUUUGGUAAUUUGUGGCGUUAAUUUGUUACUAGCCGGUCCGAUCAAUGCCCCUUUUCAUUAGCAAAGAUCGUUUCACA